rnacentral:lncRNA from 1 species
CCUUAAUUUCAGGCCACUGAGGAUCCUAAUUGGAAAAAAACCCGUCUUCAGAACUAGCAGCACAGACACAAUCCUGGAUGAGUGGAAGGAGGCAAAAUAGAAGAGGAUAUAAAAAAGGCUACUGUAGUACUUGGAAGAAUCUCUUUUUAUUUGGGACUUCUGUCAGAGUGAAGAAAUAAUGCUGAAAACCAUGCAGUGUGUAUUAAUAAGAUGUAUUUUUCACAGCCCGGUGAUCUAAAUGAGUGACUUGGUAAGGAUUUCGAACUGCUUGCACUGAAGGAUUAUUCUAUAAAUAUGAAAUUCUAAAGAAUUACUGAAUUCAUCUUCUAAUCUGCAUGAUUUGAUUAAUUUCCAACUACAUCUUUCCAGUGGAUUUCUGCAAUGCAAAAAUCUCCUUGUUGUCUCUUUUAGUUCCUUCAUGGAAUGUCUAUAUAACCCUGUUUUUUAAAGGAAAUACAAACA